UAACUUUAUGAUUCUAGACAGAUAGUUUGAAUCCUUAAUUUUUUAUUUAAUUUAUUAUGUAGAUAAUAAUAAACUACUAAACACUUUAAAUUUCAAAUUUGAUUAUGACCAUUACAAUGUCCAUGUGCUAAACAUAUGAGAAACGGUGGUUAUAGUAGUUCCUUAAAAUAAAUUUCACACCCAAUAUGGUGAAAUUAAAGAAAAAACCGAUUGAUUUAGAUUAUGAACUAAGCAUGGAUGAAUUAGAUUAGAGUUUAGUGUAAUUGGGUGCUUAAUUGUUUACAUAUAGUAAAAUGCAGAGGGAAGAUGGUAGAGUGGUGACAAGAUAAGGAGCAUAGAGAAUAAUCUGCUUACUAGUUUAAGGGUCGAAUUUCAUUAAGAUCAGAGUGUUUACGGGAAGGGGAUGACUGAGGCUUUGAACGUUGACAUUAUGUACAGGUAUAUAGACAACUAUAACAUGAAGUUUUGGAAUAGGGCUUCCAACAUCCAUAAACAUCUUCACUUAACAUUCUUUGGGGGUUGUUGAGCUCAAAGUUCUUCACAGGAAUGGUUCAGAUAAAGAGAAGAAGCAACGGGUAGGAUAUAAGGGUUGCUAACAAUUAUGAUUUGGAGUUUUUUUAUAAUAUCUUGUUACCUAUAAGCAUUGUAUUUUUAAUAUUUUGGUUUUGAACUUCAUUUCUUUGGUUCAUUGUAAAUGUUAUCUGCUUAGGAUUUUAUAAAGUUUUUUACUCAAUAAAUAUCACACUUUAGAACACAAUCAUAGAUCCAAACUAUUUUUACUAGUUAACAACUUUAUGUACUUAUAAAAGAAUGAAAAUAUACUCACAAAAAACAUAAGAAUUUUACAAAAAAAAUUAAGAAAAAAAUAAUAAUAAAAGAAAUUAAGGAACGGAUCACUAAUAUCGGAAAGGGCAAUACUUGCAUUGAUAAAAAUAGAUGAACAAACCUAAACCAAAUACAAAGUUACACGGGUUUACAAUGUUCAUAGAACAACAAGACAAUGUUCCACAAUGUCGAAACACAUAACCAACAACAUCUAACCCCCGCAACUCCCUCAAGAACAACUGAUAAACGAUGACAUCAUCUUUGAGACUUUGACGCAAUGUCUUCCAUCGAUUAACAAAUCCAACCCCACAAAACUAGGUUCCUCAUCUAGUUUAUAUAAUA